rnacentral:rRNA from 1 species
AGAGAGAGACAUGCGCGCAUAUCAAUAAGCGGAGGAAAAGAAACUAACAAGGAUUCCCCUAGUAACGGCGAGUGAAGCGGGAAGAGCUCAAAUUUGAAAUCUUAAAGGGUUUCCCUUUACGAAUUGUAGUUUAAAGAAGUGUUUUCUGUUGAGGUUUUGGUAAAAGUUCUUUGGAAUAGGACAUCAUAGAGGGUGAGAAUCCCGUAUUUGACCUUUACUUUCAACUUUGUGAUACACUUUCAAAGAGUCGGAUUGUUUGGGAAUGCAGUCCAAAGUGGGUGGUAAAUUUCAUCUAAAGCUAAAUAUUGGCGAGAGACCGAUAGCGAACAAGUACCGUGAGGGAAAGAUGAAAAGAACUUUGAAAAGAGAGUUAAACAGUACGUGAAAUUGUCAAAAGGGAAGCGUUUGACACCAGUGUUGUUUUUCUGAAAAUCAAUUAAAGAACUGUUUAUGCUAAGCUGUUUAGACUUUAUCAGCUAUCUGUUUAGUUUUGAGCUUUUCUUUAAUGCACUUUUCAGUUAACAAGUCAACAUCAAUUUCUUUUGCUGUAAAAAAGCUCGAGGAAGGUGGCUUGAGAUUCGUCUUAAGUGUUUAUAGCCUCUUGCCUAUGCAGUCGGAGAGAUUGAGGUCUGCAGCGUAGAUUCUUCGGGGCUAAAUGCAUUUGUGCUAAGUUAUAGCAUUUUAUAGACAACUUGUUGACUAUGAUUUGUCUUGUAGCUUACUCGCUUAUGUUAUUUUACCUACGCUUAGGAUGUUGACGCAUGAGAUAUACGC